rnacentral:rRNA from 1 species
UACGGAGGGGGCUAGCGUUGUUCGGAAUUACUGGGCGUAAAGCGCGCGUAGGCGGACCUGCAAGUCGGGGGUGAAAGCCCGAGGCUCAACCUCGGAACUGCCUUCGAUACUGCGGGUCUCGAGUCCGGGAGAGGUGAGUGGAAUUCCUAGUGUAGAGGUGAAAUUCGUAGAUAUCAGGAGGAACACCGGUGGCGAAGGCGGAUCUCUGGGCCAUUACUGACGCUGAGGAGCGAAAGCGUGGGGAGCGAACAGG